GGACAUCAAUCGAGGGUAAAGGAAGAGGGGUUGUUGCUGAGGAAUCGUCUGAGGAAGGGGAUACAGCCACGAGCUGAAGCGGACGAUAAUUCGAAGAAAAACGCAAGGAAGAAGAAGAAGCGCGUGCACUACACGCAGGCGCGUGAGGGACGCGACUGGGCGUGCGACUGGCGCGUGGGACAGACACACCGAGGCGCGUGAGGGCGCGUGAGGGCGCGUGAAGCGUCCGUUCGGUUCCCGGUCUACUUGGAAGGAAUUGUGUCG